UAGGGAAUCUUCCGCAAUGGACGCAAGUCUGACGGAGCAACGCCGCGUGAGUGAAGAAGGAUUUCGGUUCGUAAAACUCUGUUGUUAGAGAAGAACAGCGCAUAGAGUAACUGUUAUGCGUGUGACGGUAUCUAACCAGAAAGCCACGGCUAACUACGUGCCAGCAGCCGCGGUAAUACGUAGGUGGCAAGCGUUGUCCGGAUUUAUUGGGCGUAAAGCGAGCGCAGGCGGUCAAUUAAGUCUGAUGUGAAAGCCCCCGGCUAAACCGGGGAGGGUCAUUGGAAACUGGUGGACUUGAGUGCAGAAGAGGAGAGUGGAAUUCCAUGUGUAGCGGUGAAAUGCGUAGAUAGAUGGAGGAACACCAGUGGCGAAGGAGACUCUCUGGUCUGUAACUGACGCUGGGGCUAGAAAGCGUGGGGAGAGAACAGG
rnacentral:rRNA from 1 species